ACAGGAAGAGUGCUAUUGUGAUGCUAUUGUAAGACCAAUGCAUAAGAAAGAACAAAACUUGAAAAAUCAGAUGUUACAGGCAUAAGGCAAAGAGUGGGCAAUCUGUUGCUAUUUUUCAGAGGUGGAUUUUGUUGCUGUUAAUAUACUUUUUAAAACGUUUUUCCCCCACAAAUGUGUUGGCCUCAUAUGAAGCUUGGUUUUUGUUGUUUAUCAUUUACCAUGAUCACAGAUUGUCCCUGAGGUCGUCGGACACCUAUAUUUUCUACCAGAGGUUUCCAAAUUUACCUAAUGAGAAGAAUUACCAAGGGAUGGCUACUAAAAUGCUUGCUCCUUGCCAAACCUAGUAACAGGGCGGAGUUCUCUAUUAGUCACAUAGACACAGUUCCUAGGGUCCAUGAUACUCUUAGAAUCCCCCAAAAAUGUUCUAAUUCAUUUCAAACGUGGAAGAAAUAAGUACGUGUUUCUUGGAAAUCCAACUUGGAUUAUAUUUGUUUUUAUACCAGCAGUUGUAAAAUAUAACGUUUAGUAUAAUUUUUUUUUUUUCAUGGAUAAAAGGGUACUCUGAAGGCAAAAAUGCCUAGGGCCCAUGAAAGCAAGUAUCUGGCCCUGCCUAGUAACUAGACUAUCUACAUUUUAAGGAGUACACACUCAAAAACGUUUUUGAAACACUAUCUGUGCAAUAUUUUAAUACUAUAUUCCUCUGGGUUCAUCAGGGUUCCACUAGAGAGAUGCGAUUACUGCGAGUAUCAUGGGAUAAGGGAUAUAUUAGAGGAGUUAGAUCACACACUAUCGUGGGAGACCCAGAGAAAGAAGGUCAAGAAGGGAAUGCAGAAGCCAGCUUUCCCAAGAACAGGCGUGGAUGGAAGGGUGAAAGUUGGCCGGGAAAUAAGGGAAGCAGUCUUGUCUGUCUGUGCGGGCAGGACAAGGCGAGCUGGGAUAAGUCUCUGUAGGGUUGUUCCAUUUGCCUCUGUUGGGAUGUGGCUUCUCUUUGUCACCAGGACUGGCUGCCUAGCAGAAGAGUGCGGCAUGGAGCAAGGGACAACAAGCCAAGCUUAAAUGCACAGGCAGGCACUAUACCUGUACUUCUGCCCACAGUUAACUCGAGGACCUUUGGAGAGUAUGACCGCUUCAUUUCCGCCUUCCAAAAGUCCCGCCAAACCCUCCUGCUGACACACACUAGAAGCCUCUGGGAGGAGGAUUCUGGGAAAUGUAGUUCUGGCUUAGCCCAGCGGGCUGCUGCAAAUCGCUGCACCUUCUGACCUUCAGAAUGAAUCGUUUUCACCUGAGCUGGGUCUGUGCUAUUCCACGUGACGCCAGUCUUUUCUCUCCCCAACCCCCCUCAUUCACUAGCUGAGUUGUCUGGCAGAGGUUAUCCAACCUCCCUGAGCCUCAUAUUCCGCACACGAAACAAAGAUGAGGAGAGCGCAUACUGCAAAAAUUAUUGUGAGAACCGAAUGAAAAUAGGCGGGCUGUUUUGACCACGGUGUCAGGCACAUGAAUGUCCUAAAGAGACAAAGAAUAGUAGUCCUAUCACCUUCUCUUAUGAGAAUAAUGGAGAUUGACAUUGUGAAGUAUAUGGAAAAACAUGAAAGAGCACUGGAUCAACAUCACACAUGGAAUAUAUUUGUAAAGAGACAGACAGAAUUAUGUCAUACCCAGAAGGGAUAAUAAUCAGGAGUUUCUAGAUCUGAAUGUACAGCUGAAGUGUCACUAUGAUCUUGCCUGGCUUGCUGUGGUGUUUUUAUUUUCAUAUUAUGCUGACUGACUAGAGAGCCCCUAUAGUCUGAAAACCCAUGUGUUUCAGGUCUGAGAAAUUUCCCUCCCCAUAUCUCUUUGUUAUCUCUUUCUAUAACUUGUAAUUGCUGGUUAAAUUUUUUUAUUGUUAAAUAUUUAUCUUGAUCAGGGAUCAGCAAAUAUUUCUGUAAAAGGCUCAAUAUUAAUAUCUUAGGUUUUUGCAGGCUGUGGAGUCUCUGGCAAAACUACUCUUUCUCUACCUUCAAGAAAUAGCCAUAGAUAACGCCUGAAGGAGUAGGCAUGGCUAUGUUCCAAUAAAACUUUGUUUACAAAUUUAGUCAGUAGGCUGAUUUGAUCUGCAAAUCAAAAUCAUUUGCCAAUCCUAAUCAAGAUCCAUAUCUUUUAAUUUUUAUAAAUUUCCAAAUCAUUGCUUUGGAUUUUCUAGACAAAAUAUCUCAGAUGUAGUAUUUGCAUAAACAAAACAGAACAGAACUACUCUUUUCAUCAGCACAACACUAUUAAAAAUUACUUUUAUGGCCAUCUAUUCCAAAUGAAGGACUUAAUGCUAUUGAUAGCCAUGUUCUGAUUUUAAUUUGAAUGCUUAUAGUAUCACAUUAGUUUUUAGUUUAAGGGGAUUUCUUUUUCAUGUUUAAAUUAAUUUUAAUUUUAGGAAAAGCUUAAUUCCUUAGAGACAGACAUCUAUUAAGGUAAUCACGAGCAUUUUUCCUAGCUACCUGGAAUUUAAUGUAGUGAUUUUAAUAUUUAUUUAAUUGAUCAGGUAAAUCUAGGUUCAUCACGGUGUUUUAUUUCAGUUGUCUAGAAUUUAAGUAAGAUUUUAACAUCUAUAUUUAUGUUAUUGUUCCUAUACAAUCUUUUUAGAAUGAGUAUGAAAUUGAUUGAUUGAAUCUAUGCUUUGUUCAAAAAGGCCCUAUGUGAAAAAGAUUAACUCUAUUCAACCUAGGUGACCAGUAAUGGAUGUUGACUUAGCAAAAAUAGUUAUACAUUUUCUGUCCCCUUUUAUUGCACGGCAUUUGAAUUCAUAGCUUACAAAGUGAAAGACAAAAGCAGGUUAAAAAACCAAAAGUGGUUGGUGUAAACAAGAAAUGCUAGUUUAUUUAUAAUAAUAAAUACCUGUCAUGGAAAGGAUAAUAUAUAUUGGCCAAUAAAAGCUAAGUAAUCUAUACCACUUUUUAUUUUGUGAGGUUUGAUUAUUCAACUAUUUAAAUUUUUAAACUUCUUUAUAUAUAUAUAUAUAUAAUAAAUUCUCAUCACCUGAAUUAGG